rnacentral:misc_RNA from 1 species
GCAGAAGUAUCUUCUAAUGCUCUAUACAUUAUGCUAACAUAAAGACGACUCCAACCAUGAUACAGAUCCAUAGACAAUGGUCAAGGGAAGAAUUAGUAAAGCUUAUCCCUAUAAAAUGACUUAAUAAUUUUGAAAAGCUCCAAAUUCCCAUCUUGUUCAAGCAACAAAUCCUACUUUUCAUAGACAAUCUGAUGAAACUAUCAAGGCAGUCUUUAAAAGUUUAGAAA